AUUUAUGGUGCUGUAAAUGGCAAAAUUGUGGCAGCUGGUGAAAGACCCCCGAAGGGAGACCCUCACUCAAGCCUCGGGACAGCCGCGGACCCAAGAAGACACUGAGACCG
rnacentral:pre_miRNA from 7 species